AGCCUGAUGCAGCCAUGCCGCGUGUAUGAAGAAGGCCUUCGGGUUGUAAAGUACUUUCAGCAGUGAGGAAGGGGGUGUCGUUAAUAGCGGCAUCUCUUGACGUUAGCUGCAGAAGAAGCACCGGCUAACUCCGUGCCAGCAGCCGCGGUAAUACGGAGGGUGCGAGCGUUAAUCGGAAUUACUGGGCGUAAAGCGCAUGCAGGUGGUUUGUUAAGUCAGAUGUGAAAGCCCGGGGCUCAACCUCGGAACUGCAUUUGAAACUGGCAAACUAGAGUACUGUAGAGGGGGGUAGAAUUUCAGGUGUAGCGGUGAAAUGCGUAGAGAUCUGAAGGAAUACCAGUGGCGAAGGCGGCCCCCUGGACAGAUACGACACUCAGAUGCGAAAGCGUGGGGAGCAAACAGGAUUAGAUACCCUGGUAGUCCACGCCGUAAACGAUGUCUACUUGGAGGUUGUGGCCUUGAGCCGUGGCUUUCGGAGCUAACGCGUUAAGUAGACCGCCUGGG
rnacentral:rRNA from 1 species